GCCGCCCUAGCUCAGUGGUAGAGCACUCCCUUGGUAAGGGAGAGGUCGAGGGUUCAAGUCCCUUGGGCGGCU
rnacentral:tRNA from 1 species